CGGCAUGCUUAACACAUGCAAGUCGCACGGGUGGUCUUCGGACUGUCAGUGGCGGACGGGUGAGUAACGCGUAGGGAUUUAUCCAUGGGUGGGGGAUAACCGCGGGAAACUGCGGCUAAUACCGCAUGAAGCCUGAGGGCCAAAGGCAGUGAUGUCGCCUGUGGAGGAGCCUGCGUUCGAUUAGCUUGUUGGUGGGGUAAAGGCCUACCAAGGCGAUGAUCGAUAGCUGGUCUGAGAGGAUGAUCAGCCACACUGGGACUGAGACACGGCCCAGACUCCUACGGGAGGCAGCAGUGGGGAAUAUUGGACAAUGGGGGCAACCCUGAUCCAGCAAUGCCGCGUGUGUGAAGAAGGUCUUCGGAUUGUAAAGCACUUUCGGCGGGGACGAUGAUGACGGUACCCGCAGAAGAAGCCCCGGCUAACUUCGUGCCAGCCGCCGCAGUAACAC
rnacentral:rRNA from 1 species